UGGGGAAUUUUGGACAAUGGGCGAAAGCCUGAUCCAGCCAUUCCGCGUGCAGGAUGAAGGCCCUCGGGUUGUAAACUGCUUUUGUACGGAACGAAAAGGCUUUCUCUAAUACAGAGAGCUCAUGACGGUACCGUAAGAAUAAGCACCGGCUAACUACGUGCCAGCAGCCGCGGUAAUACGUAGGGUGCAAGCGUUAAUCGGAAUUACUGGGCGUAAAGCGUGCGCAGGCGGUGAUGUAAGACAGUUGUGAAAUUCCCGGGCUCAACCUGGGAACUGCAUCUGUGACUGCAUCGCUGGAGUGCGGCAGAGGGGGAUGGGAAUUCCGCGUGUAGCAGUGAAAUGCGUAGAUAUGCGGAGGAACACCGAUGGCGAAGGCGAAUCCCCUGGGCCUGCACUGACGCUCAUGCACGAAAGCGUGGGGGAGCAAACAGGAUUAGAUACCCUGGUAGUCCACGCCCUAAACGAUGUCAACUGGUUGUUGGG
rnacentral:rRNA from 1 species